rnacentral:rRNA from 1 species
UACGGGGGGGGUAAGCGUUGUUCGGAAUUACUGGGCGUAAAGGGCUCGUAGGCGGCCAACUAAGUCAGACGUGAAAUCCCUCAGCUUAACUGGGGAACUGCGUCUGAUACUGGAUGGCUUGAGGUUGGGAGAGGGAUGCGGAAUUCCAGGUGUAGCGGUGAAAUGCGUAGAUAUCUGGAGGAACACCGGUGGCGAAGGCGGCAUCCUGGACCAAUUCUGACGCUGAGGAGCGAAAGCCAGGGGAGCAAACGGG